AUUGAACGCUGGCGGCAUGCUUUACACAUGCAAGUCGAACGGUAACAGGCCGCAAGGUGCUGACGAGUGGCGAACGGGUGAGUAAUGCAUCGGAACGUGCCCAGUCGUGGGGGAUAACUACUCGAAAGAGUAGCUAAUACCGCAUACGAUCUAUGGAUGAAAGCGGGGGACCGUAAGGCCUCGCGCGAUUGGAGCGGCCGAUGUCAGAUUGGGUAGUUGGUGGGGUAAAGGCUCACCAAGCCAACGAUCUGUACCUGGUCUGAGAGGACAACCAGCCACACUGGGACUGAGACACGGCCCUGACUCCUGCGGGAGGCAGCAGUGGGGAAUUUUGGACAAUGCGCGCAAGCCCGAUCCAGCAAUGCCGCGUGCAGGAAGAAGGCCUUCGGGUUGUAAACUGCUUUUGUACGGAACGAAACGGCUCUGGUUAAUACCCGGGGCUAAUGACGGUACCGUAAGAAUAAGCACCGGCUAACUACGUG
rnacentral:rRNA from 1 species